rnacentral:rRNA from 1 species
GUGCUUGGGCGAGAGUAGUACUAGAAUGGGUGACCUCCUGGGAAGUCCUYGUGUUGCACCCC